UGUGGGCUCUGCACGCUGGCGGGGGCUGUCCCGUUGGUCCCCGAGUCCCCGCGCCCACCUGGCAGCCUCGGGGCCACUAAUCUGACGCCGGCGAUCACACCCCACAGCUCUGUCCAAUUAGGAAAAUGACCGCGAGGAGACGGAGAGAGUGGGCGACAAGGAAGGGGAACUGAGACUGAGGAGGCUAAGGACAGGCCGUGGAGACCCAGCCGGCCGGCGAGCGCCUUCAACAGAAAAGGGGAACAAAGAUUAACUGAAGCGGGAGAGAGGGGGAGCAUCAGAACCUCGCAUGGAAAUGGGGGGCCCGGUCCUGCCCGGUACAAAGAGGGCCAGGGGACCCCCCACCGUGGGAAGCUUGGGGCGUCCUCCCGAGAGGAGAGUCGUAGGCAGAUGGGCGUGGAACAAACAUCCCCGCGGAGCACUAAACUGUAAGAAGCCUUUAAACAGCUGUUUGCAGAGCCCUGGACGUCCAGACUCGAGGGAGCGGUGCGGACUGCGAGCGCCAGGGCCCGGGUGGGGAAGGGGCUCCGAGGAGCCGCUGGGAUCGGCCCCUCGUGGGCUCGCCAAUCCCACGGCCCGGGCCUUCGCCCCCGGGCGCACUGCUGGGGGGCGCUGAGGCGUGGCCGUUGGCAGCGCGGGGGUCAAGCCCCUGGCGCCUUCCUGCAGGGCCUCGGGGCUUGGCACAGCCUUGCCUUUCCCCGGCUUCCGACCCGACUCUCGGCCUCUAACCUCCAGCCGCUUCUCCACUCCGAGCCCUCGGACAGGACGCGGUAGAGCCUCCCCGAAGGGUCAGUUAUUCAUGGGGCGCCUGGGCGUGUUCCCAAGACCUGCUCUGCCUUCUGCUUCUCCAGAGAGGUGGGGAGAAAACGGGGGGAAAGUUCCCAGAGCAAAGUUGGCCACAUUUCUCUUUUGCCUAAGGAAGUAUUGAGCACCUGCUGGAUGCCCGGCACUUAGACUGGGGCUACUGCCAGGGGCUGGGGAGAAACGUGAGUCUUCAUGGGCCCUGAGAGUUUCCACAGGAAACAAUGCCAGAGGAGACUGCAGCUCAGGACCAGGUCAUCGAGAGGAAGGAAAGCCUGGAUCCUCUCCCCUCCCUCCUCUCUUCCUUCCCCUUCUCUUCCUUCCUCCCGGCUGCGUCUCCUUGGCUCCACCCCUUCUCCUCAUCAAUUCCUCCCACACUUCCCUGCUCUCC